UGGGGAAUAUUGGGCAAUGGGCGCAAGCCUGACCCAGCGACGCCGCGUGGGUGAUGAAGGCCUUCGGGUUGUAAAGCCCUGUCAUGCGGGAAGAACGGCUCCAUGGUUAAUACCCAUGGGGAUUGACGGUACCGCAGGAGGAAGCACCGGCUAACUCCGUGCCAGCAGCCGCGGUAAUACGGAGGGUGCUAGCGUUGUUCGGAAUUAUUGGGCGUAAAGGGCGCGUAGGCGGUUGUGUAAGUCAGAUGUGAAAUACUUCGGCUCAACUGAAGAACUGCAUUUGAUACUACAUAGCUAGAGUACAGAAGAGGGAAAUGGAAUUCCCGGUGUAGAGGUGAAAUUCGUAGAUAUCGGGAGGAACACCAGUGGCGAAGGCGAUUUCCUGGUCUGAUACUGACGCUGAGGCGCGAAAGCGUGGGGAGCAAACA
rnacentral:rRNA from 1 species